rnacentral:misc_RNA from 1 species
CAGCUCACCUCAGCCCAGCACACCAUGCAGCCCGGAGCCGCAGCGCUGAUCGCAGUUGCCCUGGCCGUCGCCGCCGGAGCGGUGGCCGCCAGGCCAGCUGAGACGGAGGAGAGGCCGGCGCGCAGCCUGUACCCCUUGGGACCGGGCGGCUUCCUGCAGCCCGGCGGCCCCUUCGGUGGCCUGGGGGUCGGUGGCGGCGGAGGCAACGGGUUCUCCAAUUCGGGCAGCCACAGCGAGAGCCAGGCGUCCAGCCAGAGCGGCGCAGGCGGCCACGGCUUGGGCCCCGCCUCCGGCUCCUACAGCCAGUCCAGCGCCAGCUCCAACUCCUUCAGCGGCAGCGGGUGAGCGCCUCGCCUCUCCUCGCCUCGCAGAUAGGCAUCAAGCUGCGCUGCCCAGCUGCCCAGUAUUUCCCGUUUGGUUAAGAGGAAUGCAAGGAGGUAUAGCAGAGAUGUCUCCGGGUGCCUUAUGGGACUUUUCCUAAUGUGUGGACGUCGACGAGAUACAAAAGUGAGCAACAGAAAGCAGAAUCAGCAAACAUCUUCUGUAAUAACUAAUUUUUUAAAUAAAAGUUAAAAUUUGUCG